rnacentral:rRNA from 1 species
CUCAAAGAUUAAGCCAUGCAAGUGGUUAUAAUAACCCGAUAGUUUAAAUAAGUGUUAUAAAUUUUGAGAAUCGCUUCAAAAAUUGUACUUUAAACACACCUCUUUUGACGAUUCAGAGCAAAAUUUCGGAUGAUAACUUAUGCAACUGCAGACAGCUGCUUAAUACAGUCACACUUGUCUUGACUUUGGCACUCGAUCAAAUCAUCUUUGAUUCAUACACUCACUGGGCCAGAACUAACACUUACAGUCACCUGUUUUUGUCUUCUGGGUUCCCUUUAUUGAAUUAUCGAUGUUUUUGUUUGAUACGACAAAAAGAUUUCUCUGUAGCGGUUCUUAUAUUUUUUACGAAAUAUUUCGACGUUACAUCGUGCAUUUUACUUUUCGGAUAACUCAGGGAAAGUUUGGCUAAUACGUACGAGCAUCUUUAAUCUUACACACCCACACCACUCUCUGCACAACGAGAAAAGAUCUUUUACUCAGCACUUAUUGGUAAAUGUUUGAUGCGCUUUCGAGUGCAUCUUUCAACAUUUAAAAGCAACAUGAGAGACAAUAAGUACGCAGGAUUGGGCAUUUCUUGUCCUUUCCAUACGCUGAGCAGACUUUGCGAAGUUCACUUUUGCGAAGCAAGUCAUACAAGCAUCUACAGCAUCAAGUCACAGGGUUGGCAAGUGUAUUUUUGAACCUUCAAAGCAGUCACGCAUACGGAAGAGUAGUUUCUGAUCCCAUAGAAGGAGCACCGUACAUUGAGAGACCGCUCUUAGUUCUAAGGAACGCAGCAGGCGCGUAAAUUGCCCAAUGAUAGUACCCUACAAUAUGUAAUACCAUCAUUCACAAAAUUUUUUAACACACAAUUUUCUCUGUCAACUUUAAUCCUUGUCAGACUGAAUCAAUUAAUUAACCUUGUGAAUUCAUUUUCUCAUAUUAUUUUACUGAGGCAGUGACAAGCUGUAACGGUUGAGUAUAAUAAUGACGAGUGUCUGACAUUGCCGCCUGCUUCUGUAGGCUUGGCAGUCUGUCGACGCUUUGUGUGCUCAAUUGGAAUGCGGUGAGUUUAAGCAACUCAGAACCUUUGGACGGUGUUGUAAAAAGCAUUGUUCUUGUAUCUGAAUUUCAAGUGGAGGGCAAGUCUGGUGCCAGCAGCCGCGGUAAUACCAGCUCCACUGGCCUAUACAAUCAUUGUUGCGGUUAAGAGGCUCGUAGUUGGAUUGAACUGCAAACUUUAAAAACACAAUUUCAGGUUUCUUCGGAUCUCGUUCUGAUGUAAUACGCACACGUACCCACGUCAGCAACGUUCUUUGCGGAUUCUUGUUUUUGAUUUUUAUUUACCAAAGUUUGUAGCACAAGACACUUUGUCUUUUUCUAGAUGAAGUGUGCUUGUACGACGCUGUUAAUUGUAUUCGGUCUUGAAUGACAAAUAUGAUUUGCAGUCUGAUACACAAACGAAAUAAAGAUCUUACCAUUUUUAUCGUUUUCAACACUGUGAACAAAUCAGAGUGUAUCAAACAUGUCUUUUCUAAAUGUGCAUUGAAUGUUCCAUCAUGGGAUGCUGCACUUUUAACACUUUCUUUUCCCAUGUUUUGCUAACCACUCACACUGUAGCUUUACAACCGGGUAAAACAUGUGAAGGCAUGUGCUAUACUUCAUACUGUCUUUUGAAAAGAAAACAGUUAUAAAUGUCGAUGGGGAUAGUUGGAGUCAAGAGUACUGUUGGGCGAGCGGUGAAAUGCAUUGACCCUAGCAAGACUACCAAAAGCGAAAGCACUUGACUAGGCUAUACUCUUUGUGAUGUCAGUGUUUGAAGAUACACGCUACUCGCGUAUCAUGGUUAUUUGCGGAGCAAUUAACGUUAGUUGCGUAUUGCCAACUUUCGAGAGAUUGUUAGAGUGAACGGCAACGGAUACUGUUGUUGUUAUCGCAUUUAUUCAUUGAUCGCAAUUUGCACUUCAUUCAUCUGGUUACACUUUACAAUGAAGAACGAAGGUUGGGGGAUCAAAGAGGAUCAGAUACCCUCGUCGUCCCAUUAAUUACAUCAAACGAUGGGCUCUCAAUUGCAUUUUUUAAAUAUUAAUUGCAAAUGCCCUCAACCUACAAAAUAUUGAAUAUUUUCGUUGCUUGAGCUAGUGUCUUUAUUGAUACGCUCGCUUUGAAUUUAUUUGUUUUCGUACGGUCUCGAUGGACGUUUCGAUUAAAAAAUCUAAUUUUUUGCGUGUAUGCAUUUUGACUUUAUCUUCAUUGAUAAUUCAUUGCGUGCACUUGAUUUUCGGAGCUUUGCGCUCAAAUUUUGGUGAGAUGUAAGCACUGUGUCAUUCUACACGAGAACUUUCCGUUCAAUUUAUUGUUCGGACUUGCUUCAUCGUUUGUAGUCUGAUAUUUUUUCAAAUAGGUGUGAAGCACGCUUUAGGCACGCGCUUACUGCAGAAAUGUCUGAGACAUUCCCCUCCGGGGGUAGUAUGCACGCAAGUGUGAAACUUGAAGGAAUUGACGGAAGGGCACCACAAGAACGCGUGGAGCAUGUGGCUUAAUUUGACUCAACGCGGGAAAUCUUACCGGGUCCGGACACACUGAGGAUUGACAGGCACUAUUAAAAAUGGAGUCUCGCAUUUAUUUGCGUGUUCUUCUUUUUAUGUCAAAUAUGCUAGUCCUUUCAUGAUUAUGUGAUAGGUGGUGCAUGGCCGUUCUUAGUUCGNGGAGUGAUCUGUCUGCUUAAUUGCGUUUCACUAAGAGUUCUAAACUUAAUGUGUAUUGCAGCGGUUUCAUUGACCCCUGUCAAUUUAUUGGCGGUGUUGUUGUCUUUGUUUCUUGUCUGCUUACACUACUGAGCUCUGAAAGCAACGAACGUGACCGCAGCCUCUUGUUGCCUUUCGUAAAACAAUCGCUUUUCAUUAAGCUUUUGAUCAAAAAAGGCUCAUUUUUUAAACUAGAGGGACCGCUGUAUCUUCUUUAAACCAGAGGAAGGUUGCGGCAAUAACAGGUCUGUGAUGCCCUUAGAUGUUCCGGGCUGCACACGUGCUACAAUGAUUAUUGCAGUGAGCAUCUCAUUUUGAUACAUCGCUUGCGCGAGUCACACUGUUUAUUCAGUGUUGUUCUUUGCGCGCGAUAAAGCCUGCUUCGAAAGUUAGUGGGUAAUCAAUUAGAAGUAAUGAUUUCCUAAUUCUUCGCACAAUAAUAUACUGCAUUCAUUACCGACCUUGCCUUGUGUUUGGUUCUGAGUUACAUGAGUGUUGAGGCUCUCUGAGUUCUCUUUCAGUAUGUGCAAAUGUCAACUCCCGGUGGGGACAAACCAUUGUUAAUUGUUGGUUUCGGUCUCAACUAGGAAUGCCUUGUACUGGUCUUUGGUUCAACAAACCACCAGGAAUACGUCCCUGCCCUUUGUACACACCGCCCGUCGCUCUUACCGAUGGACUUCUCUGUGAGUUUGAGGGACUGGAAUUGUUUGUCUACAUUCACUUGUAUUCAAAUCCUCUAUGGAAACUUAAACGAACAGUGUGGUCUAAAGGAAAGAGAAGUCGUAACAAGGCAUCGGUAGGUGAACCU